CUACACCACACACACACACGCACGCACGCACACACACGCACGCACGCGCACACACACACGCGCACACACACGCACACGCCCGCGCACACACUCUCUCACACACACACAGAGAUUGGAGAGAGACAGGAGAGAGACAUGUUUUCAUCUAUCCUUUGUGGACUUCUGUUGUUUUUACUGCUGUGAAAUUUGACUUGCGAUAUCUGCUUAAAGCAAUGAAGAGAAAAGCUGAAGUCAGUGAUUAGGAGUGUCUGUGUAAGUAAAAGCAACAGGCAAUUACUGAGUGUGGUGUGAGAGGCACGGAAAGAUUGGGAAUUCAGCAAGAAGAGGAAUUGAAGUCAAACCUCACCUACUUCCCAGAGUCUUCUGGAUUUUCUGUUAGAAGCUUCAGUAUCUGAGAUAUUCCUAUGCAUUCUACUGCUUUAAUCCCACCUAAGUAGAGAUGUCCACAACAGAGAGAAUGGAGCUGUCACAUCGUUUCAACUGCCCAGGUAGUUCCUACUGGAUGAAUGGGAUUGUCACCUUCACACCUGCUAGAGGCUUGGAGCAUGCAAGAGUUUUUUUAAAUGGCUUCACCUUUCUUAUGAAAAUGCAACCACUAGUACUCUUCCAAUAAAAGCUUUUCUCAAGUGUGAGUAUACACUUGGCAUGGAAUAUUUUAGCUAUUUUCUCUCUCAGGACUCAUGUUUUAUUACAUAGCAUUUAGUCUCAACAUAUGUGGAUACAUAUUUUCUUUCUGAUAGUUAUUAUGCUUUUGUUUCUUCAUAUUUGUUUUAUUCUUGAUUUGAAAAAAUUAAUUUCAGAGAAACCUCCAGACUACACGCAAGCCAGUGCAGGCAUUUGAUAUCAUGAAGCUAUGAGAAUUCCCAGUUAUGGGAAGCCCUGAUGUCAUAAGAAAAUUAGACCAGCUUAGCUCAGAACAGUUUCAAUGAAAUACAUUCAUUUCACACUGUAUUAAUAUAAUCCUUGUAUUACUUCUUUUUAUCAGUCUCACAAGUCUUAAUUUUUCCAGUCAGAUAUAAAUAAGACACAAUGCAAAAGAAAGCUUAAAGAGGGAGAGGUGAGGAGAUUCUUUGAGGCCAGGAGUUCUAGACCAGCAGGGCAAUAUAGUGAGACUCUGUCUCUUAAAAAAAAAAGAAGUAAAAAUAACAAGAAAGCUUAAAGAAUGGUAAAUAUCCCUUUAAAGUACAUUUCUUCCUAUGUCAGUCUCCAGGUUUUCUAUCCUAGUUGUCACUUAUUAACUCAGAGUGUUCAUAUUUGUGUUAAAUUGAGGAAAGGUGAAAUUCAUUCUGAGAAUAACUAUUCAGACAUUGAUAAAAAGAUUUGUUCUCUCUGGGCAACAUUCUAGGUCAGUGAAUUUAGCAUUGAAUAAGAUGUUAUUUUGUAUUCAAAUAACAGCUGUAUCUGGUUUACCCCUUGUGGCGCAGUGAGGAAAAUUAGGCAAUGUGUAAAUAUAAUUUUUGUUAUUUACUAUGCUACAUAUUCAAUUAGCUUGAAAACAAAAAACAAACACCAAACCACUCAUUCCACCGUAUAGCCCAGAGCUACCAUUUCCCUCUCUAAGGGGAAGAGAACCUAAGCAUUGGCUAGGAGCAGCUGCAAUUAGAAUUUCUUUCAUAGACUUUCCUGAAAACCCAAUAAAAGAAGUAGAAAGGAGAGGCUGGGCCUAUUACAUUUAUUGGAGGCCCACAGCCUGGUUUCUAUUAAGUUUGACAGUAUUUAUUUUUGAAGCUAGAAUCAUGUACUUACCUAUGAUUGCAAACAUUGUUUUCAAAAUAUCAAAUAACGAAUGUGCAAAAACUGAAUAAUAAUGAAAUGGAUGGAAAGUGACAAAACGGAAAUUCUUCUCCCCCACAGCAAAGGCUCAAAAAUUCCAGAGAGUGGACAAACAUGAAUACUUCCUGUUUCACUGUAAAGGUUUUUGGUGCUUAAAUUUUAAGUCUCCAUUUUCAGUCUGUGAUUGUCUAUCAAUUAUAUUUAAUUAAUGUUUUUAUUACAAUAAUAUUGUGCCAUCAGUUACAAAAUAUUUUAUAAAACAAUGCAUAUUCGUGUUAUUGCCUUUCAAGAAAAUUCCAGAAAAUUCAUAGGGAUAUUCCCCUCAAAUUUUAAUGUUAUAACAUUUCCCGUGUAAUAAUGUGUCUUAAAAAGUUGCCACUUAUAAAAUAGUUUUCCCGUAUGACAUACCCAAAUUCUGGGUCUUGUCCAAACCUUUAUGUUUCUGUCCUACAACAUUUUCUCAUUUGAUAGUUGGUCAUGUGAAAAAAACAUGUUAUGUUUUCAUGUUAUGUUUCUCUAAGUAGAAAGAUUUUUCCAGUGAACAAAAUCUUAGCUCAAUGUUCCCAGUAAGAGUCUGAACAAGCAAUCUUGGUAUGUUGUAGAACUUCAAGUUCUGUUAUGAGCAGAAUUUCCUCACAAAUGUAGCAAAAUUAUUGCUCUUACUUUUCAGUUUUUCUUGUCUUUUUUUUUUAAUGAAGGACUUGAAACCACCAAAUCUUAUUUUCUUUCUUAUGGAUUCUAUUAAUUAUAAUGCAUAUUUGAAAAUUGAAGCUUUGUAGUUAUUAAACUACCUAUUACUUCUGAUGUUACCUUUUGGACAAAUGGUAUUCAUUUAAUUUUGGGUUCUGUGAAUUUUUGAUUUUACAAGAACCCUUUGGCUUUAGAAAGAGAAUGAGAACAUCUCUGGAUUCUUUCACCCCUUUUUAACGGUGGGGCUCCGUGUACUUUCCACUGAAGGAGUGAGCAUUGUCAACUAGUUAACACAAGCUAUUGGAAAAAUCCCUGAAUUUUGUAUGGGAAGAAUAAUUGCACACAAAUGCACUCAGGAAUCCUAUGGAAAAUAUAGUGCUGUUAACUGGCAUGGUUACAACACAAUUUAGCAAGUAUGUUAGAACAAAUUACCCCCUUUAACCAUAAGCCAUUCUGUUUCACGCUUCUUAAUGAAGGCCUGUGCCACACACUAGAAUACUUCUCACCUCAUUACUACUCAUAAAAAGCAAUGAUCCAUUCAAAGUCUCCUCAUAUCUCCCAUAUGAGUGGUAAAGAGCUUCGCCUCUCAUUCUGGCAGGAGGACAGGGAGGCUUCUUCCCAGCCUGCCUUUGAAGUAGGUCAUUAGAAUGUUUACUAGAUAAAAGGACUCAAAAAUUUAUCUGUGUAAUCUCACUGUUGUCAUGUGUUAAUGUUCUAUCCUUCCUUUAAAAACAAAACAAAACAAAGCAAACAAAACCCAAAGACAUUUCUGUCCCUGUUUAGAGAAUACAGGAGAUUUGUAACACUCAGUGCAAUUUUUCUCCUGCAGUAUUCACAAGAUAUUUUCAAAGAAACUCUAAAAAGCAGGAAGAAUUUAAUGGGCCACUGAAAUACAAAGUAUGGAUUCAAUAAAAAGGCAGGAAGAGAAGCAAGCUGAUAGGCCAGUUAAGAAGAAACAGUCCAAUUUUAGAAUUAAACAACUUUUUCUCUCCACGGAGUGUCAUCAAAAGGAAAAUAAA
rnacentral:lncRNA from 1 species